GCCGGCCAGUCCGCCGCGCGGCGUUGUACCGAGUGUUUGUGAGGUUACGUCGCUUCGCGCGCCCGACCGUCUACCGCAUUUAGAACUGACCCGUGAACAUACACAAAUACCACACACCUGUGAACAAAAACUCUACAGUGCUCCCCUUACAGUGAACUGAACAAACUGUGUGUCAAAGUGUCCAAAGAAAACAAUCUUUCUAACCAUCUCCGUAAGCCGAACCUCGUUGCAUAUCGGCGUUUCUGAAAGGAAGAUUAUUUUAACGGUACGUCAACAUUGUAUCAGGAUUAGCAAGUGUUGCCAGAUAGUGUUGUGUACAUUCAGGUAAGUGUUGUGUGCAGUUAUGU